ensembl:lncRNA
GAGGAACAAGUCCAGGCAAGUCCUGGGCAAAGGUAGAGAAAUCUUCUGUCAGGAGGACACUGACGGACAGGUCCUGGCAAAGGGUUUUGAAGUCCUUUAAGGAGCACAGGUGGACGAGGCCAGGGGCAACAAGAGAGGGAUAAGCUGCUGAUAAUGGCCGGGAAACGGUCUUUUGUGUGGACUUAUCUCAAGGAAGAUGGCCAUCUCAGGAGGCACACACAUGACUCUUGCUCAAGCACCGAGGGAUGCCACGUAAGCAGGAGAAAAUGGAGGAUAAAAGAGAGUCCAACAACCAUGAGGAUAGGUGUCCGCCAUCAGAUCCCUCACUACGGACUGCAUGCUGACGGACUUCCCUAGGCCUGCUACCUGAGACCUGCUGCUUCCUCCCAGACUUACUCUGUGGCUUCUUCCUGGACCCACCCGGUACCUGCACCAAGACCGGCCUCGGACCGUCGGAACAUCGUGCAAUGGACUACUGCCGGAUCCUAGUGGUGACUAUCCCCGCUUUACGCAAUUCUUGCUUCUUCCUAUCUUUUCUAUCACCCGCCUUUCCUUCCCCCUCACCCCAAUCCAUAAUAGUGUCCAUCCUCCCCUUUCUUCAUCUCUGUUAUUAAGAUUUGUAAUAAACUGGUCGGACCAACAUUUGAACUGUUGUUUCUUAAUCUCACGCCGGGCACACAUAUUUCAAAGAACCUCCUCUCCCUCCUAUAAAUUGGAGUGAGACAAACUUUCAUAGCUAUAAUUUCACAUUUAGUAAAUAGCUGCAACACAGUAAACUGUGAGAAGAUACAAGUUACCAAUAACAACUACAAUGCCAUCAAUCUGAACAGUUAAAUUGGGAAUACUUUUUCUCAAACAGGCUUAUACAUUCUCUGCAAAGACUCUUAACUCAGAGGAAAGCAAAGCACACUGUAACAUGAAGUGUGAUAGAAAAUAGUGAAGAAUCAUAUUAGGUAUUGACAGAAUCAAAUGUAUUCAGAAGCAUCAUGCUUCUUUUCGUUUUUCCAUAAAUUCAGUUGUUGUGCUAAUGGCAGGAGUCAUUUUAUGAAAUCUAUGAAAUAAUGAAAAGAGAAACAAGAAAGGAA